CCUCUCUCUCUCUCUCUCUCUCAACUUCCAUACCACCUAGAUCAAACCCUUCUCGCAGAAGGGCAUCUCGGGAGGACCGCGCGGUCGGUGAUCCAGAGCUCCACUGCCUUCCUUUCUUGCUGGGGGAUAUGCAGCAAAAUCCCACCACGUGCUUUGCCGCAUGCUAGCCAUACCGAUCGUCGGAUUUCACAAUGUCAUAAACAUCGAUGCCAUACGCCACUUUUCCUAUUCCCCCAUCCCGGCUCCCGCGUCUCCAUAGGUAGAAGAGAAAGAGAAAGAAGGAUUUCACCAUCUUUCCGGGCCCUGAUGCGAGCGGUGAGGGCGACAAGGGCUUGCUUCACGGGCACCACCGCUGCCACCACUCCAUCCUCCUCCCCUCACUGGUUUCUCUCACCCUCCGCUAUCUGGGCAUGAUUCGGUACUCUAACUUUAAAAUAAAAAUGCUACUCUAUCGUUGUUGGGCAGCCACCACCUCCAGAUCUCAACACAUCGCCUCAUCUUCACUCUUCGAUUUUUUUUUUUCAUGGCAUGAUUCAGUCCCCUCUCUGUCCACCAGAUCCAGAUAAAUUGUUAUCUGCAGUGCGAUCGUGUAUGAAGUAGAUAAAAAAACCACUGGAUUCUAGGCUAUUGACCGGAUUGAACCCAUAUAGAAUCAAAUUUAAUGGGACAAUCCGGCUAUUAAUAAGAUUUUUUGGGCCACUGGUCAGGUUGAGAUUUGAGCCGGAUUCGAGUCAAGUUAAAGAUAAGCCCGAGCCUGAUUCAAAAGAUAAAUGGAUUGUAUAUUUAAGUUUAAAUCUGAUCUGAAGUAUUUCAAAUUGAGCUUGAAAUUUGAUUCAAAAUCGAUCCAACCCGGUGAAGCUUAAAUCAAUCCGAAUCCCGUUCCAGUCCUACACCUAACUCCCUCACCCUGAAAUAUAAAAGAUAUCUCUGUUCCUUUUAACCGCGAUAGCGUCACGGGAAAAAAAAUCCGGGUAAAAAGUAUUUUGUCCGCUUCCAUGGACUUCAGCAUCAAAGUGAGCACUCCUUUUUCGUCUUUAUACCGUGGCCGCCCGUGCUUUGGCGUCCGGAGGACAGAAAGGUUUUAAAAAAGAAAAAAAGGCCA
rnacentral:lncRNA from 1 species